AGGUUAAUGAGGCGAACCGGGGGAACUGAAACAUCUAAGUACCCCGAGGAAAAGAAAUCAACCGAGAUUCCCCCAGUAGCGGCGAGCGAACGGGGAGGAGCCCAGAGCCUGAAUCAGUGUGUGUGUUAGUGGAAGCGUCUGGAAAGGCGCGCGAUACAGGGUGACAGCCCCGUACACAAAAAUGCACAUAUUGUGAGCUCGAUGAGUAGGGCGGGACACGUGGUAUCCUGUCUGAAUAUGGGGGGACCAUCCUCCAAGGCUAAAUACUCCUGACUGACCGAUAGUGAACCAGUACCGUGAGGGAAAGGCGAAAAGAACCCCGGCGAGGGGAGUGAAAAAGAACCUGAAACCGUGUACGUACAAGCAGUGGGAGCCUCUUAAUGGGGUGACUGCGUACCUUUUGUAUAAUGGGUCAGCGACUUAUAUUCUGUAGCAAGGUUAACCGAAUAGGGGAGCCGAAGGGAAACCGAGUCUUAACUGGGCGUUAAGUUGCAGGGUAUAGACCCGAAACCCGGUGAUCUAGCCAUGGGCAGGUUGAAGGUUGGGUAACACUAACUGGAGGACCGAACCGACUAAUGUUGAAAAAUUAGCGGAUGACUUGUGGCUGGGGGUGAAAGGCCAAUCAAACCGGGAGAUAGCUGGUUCUCCCCGAAAGCUAUUUAGGUAGCGCCUCGUGAAUUCAUCUCCGGGGGUAGAGCACUGUUUCGGCAAGGGGGUCAUCCCGACUUACCAACCCGAUGCAAACUGCGAAUACCGGAGAAUGUUAUCACGGGAGACACACGGCGGGUGCUAACGUCCGUCGUGAAGAGGGAAACAACCCAGACCGCCAGCUAAGGUCCCAAAGUCAUGGUUAAGUGGGAAACGAUGUGGGAAGGCCCAGACAGCCAGGAUGUUGGCUUAGAAGCAGCCAUCAUUUAAAGAAAGCGUAAUAGCUCACUGGUCGAGUCGGCCUGCGCGGAAGAUGUAACGGGGCUAAACCAUGCACCGAAGCUGCGGCAGCGACACUAUGUGUUGUUGGGUAGGGGAGCG
rnacentral:rRNA from 1 species